AUUGAACGCUGGCGGCAGGCCUAAUACAUGCAAGUCGAACGAGUGGCGGACGGGUGAGUAAUGUCUGGGAAACUGCCUGAUGUACGGGGAUAACUACUGGAACCGGUAGCUAAUACUGCUUAACACCAGAUGUGCCCAGAUGGGAUUAGCUAGUGGGUGGGGUAACGGCUAACGAAGGGUACGCUCCCUAGCUGGUCUGAGAGGGUGACCAGCCACACUGGAACUGAGACACGGUCCAGACUCCUACGGUAGGCAGCAGUGGGGAAUAUUGGGCAAUGGGCGAAAGCCUGAUCGAGCAAUGCCGCGUGUAUGAAGAAGGUCUUCGGAUUGUAAAGCACUUUCGGCAGGGAGGCGUUACCCACAGAAGAAGCACCGGCUAACUCCGUGCCAGCCGCCGCGGUAAUAC
rnacentral:rRNA from 1 species